CCAGGCUAUGUUAGGCUUACCUUGUUCCAUUUAAUUAAUUAAUUAAUUAAUUUAUUUAUUUAUUUAUUUUCAGAUGAGGCCGAGUCUGUAUGAGUUUUACAACAGACAGCGAGACCUGAAGUGGCUGGCUCAAGUACAGGGUCAGCCAGCAGCAGCCAGCACUGCCUCGAGUCCUGCUAUUUUGCAGCAAGAGGUUCUGCCCAAACCGUUGAUUCUGGGGCCGUAGCGCAGACAGCCGCCACAACAGCCUUCAGACCCAAUUCAGUCAAAAUACAGCCUUAUCCCCUCAAAGAUUC
rnacentral:lncRNA from 1 species